rnacentral:rRNA from 1 species
GAUGAACGCUAGCGGGAGGCUUAACACAUGCAAGUCGAGCGGUAGGGCAGCAAUGCCUGAGAGCGGCGCACGGGUGCGUAACGCGUAUGCAACCUGCCUUAUACAGGGGAAUAGCCCAUGGAAACGUGGAUUAAUGUCCCAUAGGAUUACGGAUUCGCAUGGAUUUGUGAUUAAAACUGAGGUGGUAUAAGAUGGGCAUGCGUCUGAUUAGGUAGUUGGUAGGGUAAUGGCCUACCAAGCCGACGAUCAGUAGGGGUUCUGAGAGGAUUACCCCCCACACUGGUACUGAGACACGGACCAGACUCCUACGGGAGGCAGCAGUGAGGAAUAUUGGUCAAUGGCCGGAAGGCUGAACCAGCCAUCCCGCGUGCAGGAUGACGGCCCUAUGGGUUGUAAACUGCUUUUGUACCUGAAGAAACCUGUUUACGAGUAGACAGUUGCCGGUAAGGUAUGAAUAAGCAUCGGCUAACUCCGUGCCAGCAGCCGCCGUAAUAC